rnacentral:rRNA from 1 species
UACGUAGGGUGCAAGCGUUUAUCCGGAAUUACUGGGCGUAAAGCGUGCGCAGGCGGUUUUUUGUAAGUCAGAUGUGAAAUCCCCCGGGCUUUAACCUGGGAACUGCGUUUGAAACUACAAGGCUAGAGUGUGGCAGAGGGGGUGGAAUUUCCACGUGUAGCAGUGAAAUGCGUAGAGAUGUGGAGGAACACCGAUGGCGAAGGCAGCCCCCCCCUGGGUUUAACACUGACGCUCAGGCACGAAAGCGUGGGGAGCAAACAGG